AACUUCUGAAUGUUGACCUCGGAUCAGGUAGGAAUACCCGCUGAACUUAAGCAUAUCAAUAAGGCGGAGGAAA
rnacentral:rRNA from 1 species